rnacentral:rRNA from 1 species
GACGAACGCUGGCGGCGUGCCUAAUACAUGCAAGUCGAACGCAGUGGGGGCGGGUGAGUAACAAGUGGGUAACCUCCCAUCAGAGGGGAUAACACUUGGAUACAGGUGCUAAACCGCUACUGAUGGAUGGACCCGGGGUGCAUUAGCUAGUUGGGGAGGUAACGGCUCACCAAGGCCACGAUGCAUAGCGGACCUGAGAGGUUGAUCGGCCACACUGGGACGUGGACACGGCCCAGACUCCUACGGGAGGCAGCAGUAGGGAAUCUUCGGCAAUGGACGAAAGUCUGACCGAGCAACGCCGCGUGAGUGAAGAAGGUUUUCGGAUCGUAAAACUCUGUUGUUAGAGAAGCGGUAUCUAACCAGAAAGCCACGGCUAACUACGUGCCAGCAGCCGCGGUAAUAC